CCCUUAGAUGUUCUGGGCUGCACGCGCGCUACACCGAUGCGAUCAACAAGUUUUUCCUAUGUCGAUAGACACGGGUAAUCUUUUGAACUCGCAUCGUGAUGGGGAUAGAUUAUUGUAAUUAUUAAUCUUCAACGAGGAAUUCCUAGUAGGUGCAAAUCAUCAGUUUGCAUCGAUUACGUCCCUGCCCUUUGUACACACCGCCCGUCGCUGCUACCGAUUGGUUGAUCUGGUGAAUUAUUCGGACUGCCGGCUGAAGGGGUUUCCUCAUCUGCCAGCGGAAAGUCUUGUUAACCCUAUCAACUAGAGGAAGCAGAAGUCGUAACA
rnacentral:rRNA from 1 species